AACGAACGCUGGCGGCAUGCCUAACACAUGCAAGUCGAACGAGACCUUCGGGUCUAGUGGCGCACGGGUGCGUAACGCGUGGGAAUCUACCCUUGGGCUCGGAAUAACAGUUAGAAAUGACUGCUAAUACCGGAUGAUGACGUAAGUCCAAAGAUUUAUCGCCCAAGGAUGAGCCCGCGUAAGAUUAGCUUGUUGGUGGGGUAAUGGCCUACCAAGGCGACGAUCUUUAGCUGGUCUGAGAGGAUGAUCAGCCACACUGGGACUGAGACACGGCCCAGACUCCUACGGGAGGCAGCAGUGGGGAAUAUUGGACAAUGGGCGAAAGCCUGAUCCAGCAAUGCCGCGUGAGUGAUGAAGGCCUUAGGGUUGUAAAGCUCUUUUACCAGGGACGAUAAUGACAGUACCUGGAGAAUAAGCUCCGGCUAACUCCGUGCCAGCAGCCGCCGUAA
rnacentral:rRNA from 1 species